GUUAAGCGACUAAGCGUACACGGUGGAUGCCCUGGCAGUCAGAGGCGAUGAAGGACGUGCUAAUCUGCGAUAAGCGUCGGUAAGGUGAUAUGAACCGUUAUAACCGGCGAUUUCCGAAUGGGGAAACCCAGUGUGAUUCGUCACACUAUCAUUAACUGAAUCCAUAGGUUAAUGAGGCGAACCGGGGGAACUGAAACAUCUAAGUACCCCGAGGAAAAGAAAUCAACCGAGAUUCCCCCAGUAGCGGCGAGCGAACGGGGAGCAGCCCAGAGCCUGAAUCAGUGUGUGUGUUAGUGGAAGCGUCUGGAAAGGCGUGCGAUACAGGGUGACAGCCCCGUACACAAAAAUGCACAUGCUGUGAGCUCGAUGAGUAGGGCGGGACACGUGGUAUCCUGUCUGAAUAUGGGGGGACCAUCCUCCAAGGCUAAAUACUCCUGACUGACCGAUAGUGAACCAGUACCGUGAGGGAAAGGCGAAAAGAACCCCGGCGAGGGGAGUGAAAAAGAACCUGAAACCGUGUACGUACAAGCAGUGGGAGCACGCUUAGGCGUGUGACUGCGUACCUUUUGUAUAAUGGGUCAGCGACUUAUAUUCUGUAGCAAGGUUAACCGAAUAGGGGAGCCGAAGGGAAACCGAGUCUUAACUGGGCGUUAAGUUGCAGGGUAUAGACCCGAAACCCGGUGAUCUAGCCAUGGGCAGGUUGAAGGUUGGGUAACACUAACUGGAGGACCGAACCGACUAAUGUUGAAAAAUUAGCGGAUGACUUGUGGCUGGGGGUGAAAGGCCAAUCAAACCGGGAGAUAGCUGGUUCUCCCCGAAAGCUAUUUAGGUAGCGCCUCGUGAAUUCAUCUCCGGGGGUAGAGCACUGUUUCGGCAAGGGGGUCAUCCCGACUUACCAACCCGAUGCAAACUGCGAAUACCGGAGAAUGUUAUCACGGGAGACACACGGCGGGUGCUAACGUCCGUCGUGAAGAGGGAAACAACCCAGACCGCCAGCUAAGGUCCCAAAGUCAUGGUUAAGUGGGAAACGAUGUGGGAAGGCCCAGACAGCCAGGAUGUUGGCUUAGAAGCAGCCAUCAUUUAAAGAAAGCGUAAUAGCUCACUGGUCGAGUCGGCCUGCGCGGAAGAUGUAACGGGGCUAAACCAUGCACCGAAGCUGCGGCAGCGACACUGUGUGUUGUUGGGUAGGGGAGCGUUCUGUAAGCCUGCGAAGGUGUGCUGUGAGGCAUGCUGGAGGUAUCAGAAGUGCGAAUGCUGACAUAAGUAACGAUAAAGCGGGUGAAAAGCCCGCUCGCCGGAAGACCAAGGGUUCCUGUCCAACGUUAAUCGGGGCAGGGUGAGUCGACCCCUAAGGCGAGGCCGAAAGGCGUAGUCGAUGGGAAACAGGUUAAUAUUCCUGUACUUGGUGUUACUGCGAAGGGGGGACGGAGAAGGCUAUGUUGGCCGGGCGACGGUUGUCCCGGUUUAAGCGUGUAGGCUGGUUUUCCAGGCAAAUCCGGAAAAUCAAGGCUGAGGCGUGAUGACGAGGCACUACGGUGCUGAAGCAACAAAUGCCCUGCUUCCAGGAAAAGCCUCUAAGCAUCAGGUAACAUCAAAUCGUACCCCAAACCGACACAGGUGGUCAGGUAGAGAAUACCAAGGCGCUUGAGAGAACUCGGGUGAAGGAACUAGGCAAAAUGGUGCCGUAACUUCGGGAGAAGGCACGCUGAUAUGUAGGUGAAGUCCCUCGCGGAUGGAGCUGAAAUCAGUCGAAGAUACCAGCUGGCUGCAACUGUUUAUUAAAAACACAGCACUGUGCAAACACGAAAGUGGACGUAUACGGUGUGACGCCUGCCCGGUGCCGGAAGGUUAAUUGAUGGGGUCAGCGCAAGCGAAGCUCUUGAUCGAAGCCCCGGUAAACGGCGGCCGUAACUAUAACGGUCCUAAGGUAGCGAAAUUCCUUGUCGGGUAAGUUCCGACCUGCACGAAUGGCGUAAUGAUGGCCAGGCUGUCUCCACCCGAGACUCAGUGAAAUUGAACUCGCUGUGAAGAUGCAGUGUACCCGCGGCAAGACGGAAAGACCCCGUGAACCUUUACUAUAGCUUGACACUGAACAUUGAGCCUUGAUGUGUAGGAUAGGUGGGAGGCUUUGAAGUGUGGACGCCAGUCUGCAUGGAGCCGGCCUUGAAAUACCACCCUUUAAUGUUUGAUGUUCUAACGUUGACCCGUGAUCCGGGUUGCGGACAGUGUCUGGUGGGUAGUUUGACUGGGGCGGUCUCCUCCUAAAGAGUAACGGAGGAGCACGAAGGUUGGCUAAUCCUGGUCGGACAUCAGGAGGUUAGUGCAAUGGCAUAAGCCAGCUUGACUGCGAGCGUGACGGCGCGAGCAGGUGCGAAAGCAGGUCAUAGUGAUCCGGUGGUUCUGAAUGGAAGGGCCAUCGCUCAACGGAUAAAAGGUACUCCGGGGAUAACAGGCUGAUACCGCCCAAGAGUUCAUAUCGACGGCGGUGUUUGGCACCUCGAUGUCGGCUCAUCACAUCCUGGGGCUGAAGUAGGUCCCAAGGGUAUGGCUGUUCGCCAUUUAAAGUGGUACGCGAGCUGGGUUUAGAACGUCGUGAGACAGUUCGGUCCCUA
rnacentral:rRNA from 1 species